ensembl:misc_RNA Metazoa_SRP Metazoan signal recognition particle RNA
GCUGGGUGUGGUGGCGCACACCUGUAGUCCCAGCUACUUGGGAGGCUGAGGCAGGAGAAUUGCUUGAAUCCAGGAGGCAGAGGUUACAGUGAGCUGAGAUUGCGCCCCUGCACUCCAGCCUGGGUGACAGAGUGAGACUCUGUCUCAA